GCUGACGUGGCUCAAUCGGUAGAGCAGCGCACUCGUAACGCGCAGGUUGAGGGUUCAAGUCCCUCCGCCAGCU
rnacentral:tRNA from 1 species